GGAUUAGUGGCGAACGGGUGAGUAAUACGUGAGUGACCUACCUUUGACUCUGGGAUAAGCCUGGGAAACUGGGUCUAAUACCGGAUACGACCAAUCUCCGCAUGGGGUGUUGGUGGAAAGGGUUUUUCUGGUGCGGGAUGGGCUCGCGGCCUAUCAGCUUGUUGGUGGGGUGAUGGCCCACCAAGGCUUCGACGGGUAGCCGGCCUGAGAGGGUGACCGGUCACAUUGGGACUGAGAUACGGCCCAG
rnacentral:rRNA from 1 species